AAAAUAAAUAAAUAAAUAAAAUAAAAUAAAAGAGAGUGAUCGACGCUUUCCUCCUUAUGCUUACAAACGGACAUAAGACGCAAGAAAUUGGGACUCCAUGAUCUCGCAAGUUGGGUAAAAGAGGGAAUCUAUUUUGCUUCGUUCUGGUCGGACCAAUGGUAUUGCUGGCUGCUGUUUUGUUUGAGGUUCCGGCUCCGGCGCCGGAGAGAAGCUGUCGAUGAACUUCUCAGCGUUAUUAAGGAGAAAGACGAGUGCAUUGCGUCUCGAUCCAAUCGAAAUUUUCCAUAAUUUCUGACAUUUUUUGAAUCUGGGGUUUGAACGUAUGGCAUCAGUUUGGAGUCCAUCUAUGAUGGAAACUCACAUGAGGUGCUAGUUGAAUAGGAGGGAAUGGGAGGCAACAAGAGGUAAGUUUCUAUGGAUAAAAACAUUAACUUCAUGCUCUAAGAAUUGGUCAUGGAGGCUCCAUAAAUCUUCAAACUUUGUUUUAUUUCUUUCUAAGUUUUUUUUGACAGGUAUACACAAAUCUAAAAUACCCUUCACUUACAAAUGUGGACUUUGGAUUAAUACUAUUCAUAGUUUGAAUCUGUAUUAAAGUGCAGUGAGGUAAUAUAAUUCCCAAAGUUCCUUAGUUGUUGCAACUUUACAAAUAGACAUUGUAAUUCGCCAAGUUUAGGGUGGUUAAGUAGAAGAACAUAGGAGUCGGUGUUUCAUUCGAUCCAA